AUUGAACGCUGGCGGCAGGCCUAACACAUGCAAGUCGAGCGGCAGCGGGAAAGUAGCUUGCUACUUUUGCCGGCGAGCGGCGGACGGGUGAGUAAUGCCUGGGAAAUUGCCCAGUCGAGGGGGAUAACAGUUGGAAACGACUGCUAAUACCGCAUACGCCCUACGGGGGAAAGCAGGGGACCUUCGGGCCUGGCGCGAUUGGAUAUGCCCAGGUGGGAUUAGCUAGUUGGUGAGGUAAUGGCUCACCAAGGCGACGAUCGCUAGCUGGUCUGAGAGGAUGAUCAGCCACACUGGAACUGAGACACGGUCCAGACUCCUACGGGAGGCAGCAGUGGGGAAUAUUGCACAAUGGGGGAAACCCUGAUGCAGCCAUGCCGCGUGUGUGAAGAAGGCCUUCGGGUUGUAAAGCACUUUCAGCGAGGAGGAAAGGUCAGUAGCUAAUACCUGCUGGCUGUGACGUUACUCGCAGAAGAAGCACCGGCUAACUCCGUGCCAGCCGCCGCCGUAACAC
rnacentral:rRNA from 1 species